rnacentral:misc_RNA from 1 species
AUUCUUCACACUUCCAGCUGACGACCGAGAACGCAGUAUUUUGAUAUCAACGUACACAAGGCAUAAAAUGGCUCAGAUCAACACAGAGCCAAUCAUACAAGAUUGUGACACACUAAAGGAAUUGGAAGGCAGUCCACCACUUAAAAAAUUGAAACAACUAGACCUUAAGCAGAUGAAGCAAGGGCGACUUCCAUUUAAACCUGUUGAUGUUAAACCAAAGACAGGAUUAGGCAACACACCCCCAAGUUCUAAGAAGCGAAAGCUGUCAGAUGGAGAAUCACCUAGUGCAAAGCCUCCAAAAACUCCAAAAUCCCAGACUAAAGUGGUUCCAGAAAUGAAUGAAUCUGAGGUCAGCUCUAGUUCUGAGGCAGAUCACCAGACAAGAAAGGGCAAGAUUCGUAACACUCUUGAGAGGUUUGUUUGUAAGACAUUUCAGGAGGAAAUAUCAUCAACCAACGAUGGUGUGGAUUCUACUGAAACCAAACAAGCUCCAUCUCCAAUCUGCAUAGAGAGUGAUGAAUCGGAUACAGAGAAAGAGAACAUUCCAAAGAACACACCCUCCAAGCCAACGAUCAAAGUUUCCUCGACAGAGUCUGAAGAUCAAAAGGAGGUUCCAGAAGAAGAUGUUAUGGAAGUUGAUUCUGAGUCAGCAGAGGAGGCUGACAAUGAAGAGGAAAUCCAGGAAGAAGCCGAAAGUUCCUCUCCCAGCCCUGACAAUGCUACACCAUCAAAAGAGAAGGCAUCCAGAUCUCAACCUAAAACACCUUUAUGUACCUCUAAAAUGUCAGACUCUCUGUUGCAGACCCCUAAGUCUGCAUCAGAUCUUAGCUGUAGUGACAGUACUCCGGGUACAGCAAAACGAGCUCCUAGAAGAUUGUCUGAUGCAAAAAGGAAAGAAAGAGAGGCUUUGAGACAAAAAGUAAAAGAAGAAAAAGAAAAAAUAAUGGAAGAGAAACGCCAGAAAAAAGAACAGGAGAGAUUGGAAAAAGAACGAGAAAAGGAAAAGCAAAGAAAGGAGCGAGAGGAGGCAAAAGCAGAAAAAGAAAAACAGAAACAAGAAGAAAAACUUAAGAAAGAGAAAGAAAGACAGGAAAAGUUGGCUCAAAAGGAGGAAGAGAAAAAGAAGAAACAGGAGAUGUUAGAAGCUAAACAAGAGGAAAAAAAGAAGAAGGAGGAAGAAAAGAGAUUAAAAGAAGAAGAAAAGCAAAAAGAAGAAGAAGAGAAGAAAAAUAAAGAACAAAAGUUGAAGGCAUCUUUCACAAGCUUUUUUAUCAAACCAAAGACAUCUCCAACAUCAAAGACCAGCAAGGAACCGGUCGGGAUGUUCAUGCCAUUCGAAGUAAAGAAAGACAUGUUACUGGCCCCUGCAACCAGAAGAAAAGAAUUGAAUUCUGAAUCAAGGGAAAAAUUAGAUCAAUGGCUUCAGAGUCAAAACGCCAAAGAUUUGUAUAUAUCAGAGCUGAAAAGUGGAAAAGUCCAACCAAGGAAACAGAGAGGCACUCCUGACAGUCGUAAGAAGGAAGAGGAAGUGGUUCUGGUCCAUGACUCGGAGACUGUGAAGAGCAUCACGUACCACUGUAAACUAUUACAGUUUCACAUGAACUACCGACCCCCGUACUACGGAACCUGGAGAAAAAGAAGCCAAAAACUCUCCCCCAGAAAUCCAUACAAAAUGGAUACUGAUUUGUUUGACUAUGAAGUGGACAGUGAUGAUGAGUGGGAGGAAGAAGAACCAGGAGAAAGCUUGUCAGCAUCAGAGGUACAGAGGAGAGGAAGAAGAGAACAAUGAAGAUGACGAGGAAGAGGAUGCUGGAUGGAUGGUUCCCCACGGUUACCUGUCUGAGGGGGAGGGAUGUGAAGAUGAUGAAGAGGAUGCCAGUGACCUGAAGAUGCGGUGUAGGAAGAAGCUUGAGCAGUGGGAGAUGGAGCUGAAGAGACAGACCCAGCCCGCUCUGGCGGUCAUCAUCGGCUGCUUCUGGGAGCACGCUGUCCAGGAACUGCAGAGGGACCUCCAGGAAAAACUGGCCAUCUACAAGGCUGUUCCACUGGCAGAUGAGCCCAUAAAUACUAGUUUUACUGGAGGAAAGUCCAAAAAAGGAGACAACACUCCAUCAGAAAAAAAGGAAGAUGGAAAGAAAACCCUGUGUAAACCUGUUCCUGAGGAAGCCAUGCCAGAUCUUAUACGACUUGUUCAUGGAAAUUUGGCAGGCAUAAAAAAACUAGUGAAAGAAUUUAGACUCUAUUGGAAGCACAAAACAUCAGGCAAACAAUCAGAAACUGAUCAGGACUCUGAAGAAAAAAUGGAAAUUGAUGAGCAAACAGCUAAAACAGAUAUUAAACCUAUGAAUGAAGGAGAUUUGAAAGAUGGCUCUGAUGUGAAGCCAAGCUCUGCGACUGUAGCUGAAGUAGAUUUCAGUAUUUCGAAAAGGCAGCUGGAAAUAAAAAUUACCUCCAUAGCCACCCGAGAGAAGAGAGACACCUAUAAAAAAAUCUGUUGGUAUGUGAAUGAUUCUGUGCUGGAACAAUACAGCCUGAAGGAACUACCUGUACCAAGUGCUUGGGAAUUCAUCACUCAACCAAGGAAGACUCCAGUUAAACCUAAACCAGAGGAGCCAGUUAACAGUGGCCGCAAGACCCCCACUGUUUCCAUCACGCAGUUUGCCAAGCCUAUGUCCCCCUCCACCAUACAGGCUCAGUUUGCCGCGGCUAAUGCAGCAGCGGUGGCUACCAAGCAGAAGCAAGCCGAGGAACUGGCUGCAAAAGCCACGGAAUCCCCGCAACCAGUGGUAACAGUUCAGAAGGAGGAGCCAAAAUCUGAUCAAGCGAAACUGAACUUCUUCUCCCCCUCCAGGCCUCACCAGUGGAAGAUGGUGUCUUCGGGAUCUUCACAGAGGGAGGGAAAACGGUUAGUGUUGAUGUCCAGUCAGCCAUCAUCAGAAACCAAGACAAACCAAAGUAAACAGGCGCUGAAUGAUGUCUCCAAUACAACACCAAGGCGGAUACAGCUCAAUCCAGCCGAGGACCAAACUAAGGUGGUUGACCUAGAGAAUAAGGGAGAGAACUCCAGAGACGCAAUCAUACUGGAAUGAGACUUCUGUAUUAUACAGUGUGACUGUUCAGACAAGAAUACUAGUUCGCUAAAUUUCUAUUGUACUCAGUCCCUGUAAUUAGAUUUGUGUAGAGGAUUUUGAAUAAUAUUUAUUGAUACGUGUAUAUAUAUAAAGUGUAGGUACCCAUAUACAGUAUGAAAUUAAAAAAGUAUUUAUAUGAACAUG